rnacentral:rRNA from 1 species
GAUUCUGGCUCAGGACAAACGCUGGCGGCGUGCCUAAUACAUGCAAGUCGAACGAGAAUCUCUGGCUUGCCAGAGAGGAAAGUGGCGGACGGGUGAGUAAUAUGUAGGAAAUCUGCCCUCAAGAGGGGGGACAACAGUUGGAAACGACUGCUAAUACCCCAUAUGAGCUUAGUUGAAAUACUAAUCUUGAAAUGAUUUUUCGCUUGAGGAUGAGCCUGCAUCUGAUUAGCUUGUUGGUGGUGUAAUGGACUACCAAGGCGACGAUCAGUAGCUGGUUUGAGAGGAUGAUCAGCCACAAUGGGACUGAGACACGGCCCAUACUCCUACGGGAGGCAGCAGUAGGGAAUUUUGCGCAAUGGGCGAAAGCCUGACGCAGCAAACCGCCGCGUGAGUGAUGAAGCCCCUCGGGGUGUAAAACUCUGUCAGUAGGGACAAAUUCUGAUGGUACCUACAGAGGAAGCAUCGGCUAACUACGUGCCAGCCGCAGC